UGCUGGUUUAUCAUAAUGUGUUAUUCAGCCUAGCUAAAUGAAACAAUCCCUAAGUCAGAAUUUGCGGUAAACCAGCAUGGAUGGAAUAAGCACAGACUCACAAGUAAGACAUUCACAUAAGCCGGGGGAGGCAGGGAGGUGCAGAGGAGGGAAGUUUCCUUGAUGGCAUCAGAAUAGGGAACAAUGGUUUAAAUGAGAUAGCAGACAUUCCCCGGGGAAACCCAAAGUCCUUCACACACCCAGGUGGUGCGUCCAUAAAAGUAUGCUGUUGGCCGCCACCAAGCCGAGGGGCUUCCACAUAGGUCAGCAGUUGUCAACACUGGGCUUUUAUGUUUGAAGGAAUCCAGAGGAGUCUGCACCCAGCCGGAAGUCCUAAGUCGUGCCCGAGCGAUGGCCCGACCUUCCAUGUACGAGAAACACCAUCUUCCGGGAAGACGCUUCCACCCUUCUGCUCCCAGGGGUUUGCUGAUGCAAACCCACAUGGGCCCACGGUGCCCACGUGCAAGCGCCCUGCGGUUCUGGUGAAGCAACUUUCCAAAUCCUGUGUUUCCAGCAGGAUAACGUGGGUGAUCGGGGCGGGGGGGGGGGGGGGGGGAGGUGAGAAUUGGAAAAUUCACUCUUUAUCAAGGUUUCCGUCCCACAGCCCCGGGAAGACGGACCAAGAGCCUGAGGAGGCAGGACGCCCUGGAGGAAGUGGCUUGCCUGUCAGUUAUAAAAUGUGGAGGAAGAACCCCACACACGGCGUCUGAGACACCUCGCCUGGUGAGAGAUGGGACAGAGACGAGCCUACGUCCGAAGGCGAAGGGGGUGUUUCAUCCAAAGGAGGACACACAGUGCCCACUGGGGCACCAUGGGAUGGUGCCAUCUCCAGGACGCAGGUUCGAUUCCCGGCCCAGCACAGCGGGUUAAAGGAUCCGGCGCUGCGGCAGCAAUGGCUCAGGUGGCAACGACAGCUCAAAUCUGGUUCCUGGCCCAGGAACUCCAUGUGCCAUGGCACAACCAGAAAAGAAAAAACAAACAAGACAAAAAAAAUCUAAGGCUAUAUUUGUCUUGAGGGAUUUCUGAGCUUAUGUUUUCACGGCUAAAUUCUGACCACACAUCCACGCUAAACAGCAAUAAUUCAAGCCUGGGGCAUACACUUUGGUUUCUUUUUUAGGGGGGAGUUGGUUUUGGUUUUGGUUUUUUGUGGGGGUUUUUUGUAUUUUUUUUUUUUCUUUUUAGGGCCACACCUGCAGCAUACAGAAGUUACCAGGCUAGCAGAGGAAUCAGAGCUGCAUCUGUGACCCACACCACAGCUCAUGGCAACCCCAGGUCCUUAACUCACUGAGUGAAGCCAGGGAUCAAACCAGCACCCUCACGGAUGCUUGUCCGACUCUUAACCUGCUAGGACACAACAGGAACUCCCUGGGGCGUAUACUUUGGGAAAAUGCUUUCUGUGGAUUCCACUCCAGCGGCUCAUGAUUCAAUCCGUGUAGGGGCAGGUGGCCAGAGCCCGACUCCAGUUCACAGCAUCCAUGGCCUCAUCCACCGUUUCCUCCUGACAGUUUAAGAUCUGUGUCCCUGGGGCCAGCAAGGACUACUGAUGGGCCAGCAUGGCGCAGCAGCAGCAUCUAGGGGGGAGGCUGGGGGGAGGGACGUUUGCCUGGCUCCCUGGCUGUAACAUCAGGCAUCCCGCAGUCCGGAGUCUCUCCAGGCUUCCCUGGGGGGCAGCAGGCAGGAGUGUCUGUGGACGAUGAGCUUCAAGCACCCCCCUUGGGCAGCCCAGGAGCACUGGGGGAAGUAGACACUCUCCCCUCAUUCCCCAGGAUGGCCCAGACCCCAGCUGAGGGACACGCAGUGCAGGGAGGAGUCUGCAGCUGCAGACAGGACCAGAGUGCAGCCACAGCCACAGGUGUCCCCGUGGGGGGCGGCCACGCCCAGAACCAGGUGCCACCUGGAACACUCCAAAGGAUGCCAGCGUGGACAGCACAGAAGACCCAGGGUCGUCUCUGCGGCACCAGGAGCCCCCUCCCACCCGAAACCCCGGCCAGCAGGCCUUGUCCCCUGUCCUGUGUCCAAGAGCCAGAAGGAGCCCCUCCCAGCCCCUCCAUGACGUCACCCACCGGAAGCUGCCGAAACCCACCGUUUAGGGGUUGAUGAAGGUUCCACGAAACCCACCGUUUAGGGGUUGAUGAAGGUUCCACGGAUAGAUUAAAUCACUGGGCGUGUUGAUUCAUCCAAGCUCCAGCCCUUCCUCCCUCCCCGACUUCCUGAGGGGGUGGAACUGAAACUUCCAACCUUCUCGCCGCCAACUUGGUUCCCAUGGCAACCGACCCUCAUCCUGAAGGCAUCUAGGGGCCCCUGUUGGGGUGAAAAGGACUUACUGUAAAGAACAAAAGCUGUGCCUCCCCUCACCCCGGGGGACCUGAGAGGGUUUUAGGAAAAACAAAAGUAUAGUUGGGUUCGUUUCCCCUGAGCCACAAUGCGAACUCCUGUAUUUCUUAUUUUACCUCAAUAUCCCAGGCCCUCCCAGGUUCUUUCCACCACCAGCCCCAUGGCCCACAUGUCCCACCUGAACUGUUCAAGCUGCAGCCUCCAGUGUGCACUGACCUCCUUCCAUCCAAAUUCAAGGUGGAGUUCCCAUUGUGGCUCAGGGGGUUAAGAACCCGACGAGUAUCCAUGAGGCUCUGGGUUCCAUCCCUGGCCUCGCUCAGUAGCUUAACGAUCCCGCGUUGCCGUGAGCUGGGGUGUGGGUCGCAGACGUGGCUCGGAUCCGGCGUUGCUGUGGCUGUGGUGUAGGCUGGCAGCUGUAGCUCCGAUUGGACCCCUAGCCUGGGAACCUCCAUAUCAUACGCCACAGGUGUGACCCUAAAAAGAAAAAAAAAAAAAAGCCAAAAGCACGAGGACUCAGGGGCUUGCACAGAGAUUCAAGACCCCAGGGCACCUGGUGCCUCAGGACUUCUGGGCGGGUAGAGCCGAGCAGCCCGGGACCUCCAGCCCGCGAGACCCCCUCUGCCCACCCCAGCGAGGGAGCAGGGGAAAGGCACCGUGUGGUUCCCAUGGACAGAAGUCUGUCUGGAGAAAAGUAACGUGGACCAGGACGUGGCGGAUUCCAUGACGGCUUUGAUGGGCUUGGGGGGGAGCGGGGGUGUGUGUGUGGGGGGUUGCAGUUCCAUGUUCUGAGAGGAGGCUCUAUGAAAAAUGCCUGUGUCCAAAAGAAAAGCCAGAGGUUGUGGUUUCUAAUAAACAGAGGCAAUGUCUGUUCCA
rnacentral:lncRNA from 1 species